rnacentral:rRNA from 1 species
UUGGCGAACGGGUGAGUAAUACAUAGGUAACCUACCCUUAAGACGAGGAUAGCCAUUGGAAACGAUGGAUAAAACUGGAUAGGAUAUAGAGGAAGAAUCUUUUAUAUUUAAAAGAGAGAUCUGCUUAAGGAGGGGCCUGUGGCGCAUUAGCUAGUUGGUGGGGUAAGGGCCUACCAAGGCGAUGAUGCGUAGCCGGACUGAGAGGUUGAACGGCCACAAUGGAACUGAGAACGGUCCAUACUCCUACGGAAGGCAGCAG